CCCUUUCCCGGCUCCUCCUCUGCCAGAGUUCUCGGUCCACCGAAGCCAAGCUUCCCAAACUUUCCGUGCCAAGGCUUCCUGUUAAAGCCUCUGUGUUAUAUGCAGGCGAACAGUCGAAGCCGAUGGAGGGGGACGCGUAAAAUGUGAAAUAUAAAAAAACUAUGGUACUGAUGACCGAGCAGGCGGACAGACCUCUGACUCCGUUAUCCACACCGGAGCAACUUUUCAACAAGGACUCCCGAGGGAAUCGGUUGACGUCUGAAGCGGAGCAUGGAGGUGAGAGGAGACAGAGGAGGCGCGGAGGCUCACCUGCAGACCCUCUGUUGUGUUUGGAUUCAGAGACAGACCCCUCAGAGAGCAAAAGGAAACCAACUGGCAUGAGAUUGAAACCUGUGGAGCAGCUUUCUCCAAUGCUGAGUCCAAGUGACUGUGAAACAAAGUUUGAAAGGAAGAAAUCCCAGCCCAGUCAAUUAUCAAAGACAAAUGCUCAGUAUCACAAGUUAUUCAAGGAGGUCAGCAAAGAUGAGUCACUCAGACAAAGUUACACUUGUGCCCUGCAGAAAGACAUUUUAUAUCAGGGCAAAAUGUUCGUCUCUGAUCACUGGAUCUGUUUCCACUCCAAAGUUUUUGGCAGAGACACAAAGAUUUCAAUCCCAGUGUUGUCUGUGACAUUUAUCAAAAAAACUAAAACUGCAUUAUUAGUGCCAAACGCCCUCGUGAUUGAAACUACUUGUGACCAGCAUGUGUUUGUGUCCUUCCUCUCUCGAAACACCACCUACAAACUUCUGAAGACCGUCUGUGGUCAUCUGGAGGUGGAUAAGACUUGUAACAGCCCUGUUAUUUCCUCCUGUGAAACCAGCUUCAGAGUGAAAUGCCCAUCCUCACUUCCUCUGGAUUUUUCUGCAGACUUCUCCGACCUGGACGGGGUUGUGCAGCAAAGACGUCAGGAGAUGAUGGAGAGCAGCAGCUCCGGCUCUCAAACUCCAGAUUAUGACAAAAUAAAUGACUUCACCAGCCUCCCUGACACAUUUCUAAGUGCAGUGAAGAGCGGAGAGGUUUCAGUCCACGCAGACAUUCACCUCCAGAGUCCAAGCCAAAAACACGGAGCUGCCCUCAAGAACGGGUCUACAAAGCUCAAAGACAAACCCUCGCAGCCCAUGUCGUUACAAGCCAUCCUCCUCAUCUAUUUGUUUUUAUUGUGGCUCUUGAGCAUCGUUUGAACUCCUUGGUGUCCAUGGGGGAACACAUUCGUAAUGAGUAAGAGCCAGAGUCACAUAAUUGAGGUGUACCAAACAAUGAACAAAUGCGCUCUUACAGUUUUAUUUUCUUUUUUUUUUUUGUAAUGCAGCAUCACGCUUCAUUUGGUUUGUGAUUUUAGUGCAAAUGUUGUUGCAGAAACGCAGUGAGCCACAGGCCCCAGGAAGAAGUGAAUGCUGAGAUUUAUGGAGAACUUUCAACCAACUUGUUUAAGCUGGAAAAGAUCCAAAGAAGCCUCCGGAAGCUACUUGAAGAGACUUAAAAGAAGACAGACAGAAGCUUUACUUUUCUUAUUAGAAAUGUUGUAUUUUUAUCAGCAGUGAUCAGAUGUGGUAAUAGUUUUGUUGGAGGGCUCACAUAGAAAGCUUUCUUAAAACUGUCUGAACUUUAAAUUGUGCAAUAAUAGCUUCUUUCCUCUUUCCACUCAGGACUAUUUUCUCACUCUUUCUAAACUAAAUGUUGUGCUGGAGGUUAAACUGAAGCAGUGUGUUAGUGUUAGUGAAGUUUCAGCAUAUAUGCGGUGCAGUAUUUAUCUGAGAGCUUUUAUUUUGCAUAUCACAAUAGUGGAAUUUUCUUUAAAGGUCCAAAGGUCAUAUUUCAAUGUUUUCAAAACAUUUCUUUAAAAGGUCAACGUGUGCUGUUUUUAUGUUUUUUUGUUAAAAUUAAAUUUUAGAUGAAUUUUAUUUAUGUUAUGUAGAUACAUCAUUCAGAUAGGGAUGUGUGUACAAUAUCUGCUAAUGACAUAUAUUAAAAGGCAGCCUCUUGCAGUGUGUGGUGUUGGAAAAUAGAAAUGGGGCGGUCAGGGUUAUGUGAGGGGAGGUUUGCUAAGUGAAAAUUGAAAAGUUUAAUUAGUAUUUAUAUUGUAAAUUUGGCCCACUCCAGCUCAUUGAAGAGCCUCUCAGCUGGUCAUAAUUUAUAAAUCAUGUCCUGAACAUUUCUACAGAAACUUUGAUUUUUGUGUAUUUAAAGAGCUGUUAAUUAUUUCAGGAGCAACAGAAAAGAAUGAGCUCAUGUUUUAAGCUGUAGUGGGUUUUUUUACAUUCGGAUCACAGUCUGUGCCUUUACCUGUUGUGUGAAUCGCAGUCCUGAAAUAAAUGUCUCUCAUAUGGUU